UACAGAGGUCCCAAGCGUUGUUCGGAUUCACUGGGCGUAAAGGGUGCGUAGGCGGCUCCGCAAGUCGGCCGUGAAAUCUCCGGGCUCAACUCGGAGGGGUCGGGCGAGACUGCGAGGCUCGAGGUGGGCAGAGGGCAGUGGAAUUCCGGGUGUAGUGGUGGAAUGCGUAGAGAUCCGGAGGAACACCAGUGGCGAAGGCGGCUGCCUGGGCCUGGCCUGACGCUGAGGCGCGAAAGCGUGGGGAGCAAUCCGG
rnacentral:rRNA from 1 species